CUCCUCUCGGUUUUAAAACUCCUCUCAAAUUUCUGGCCUGAGAAAAACUUACCUCCGCCGUGUCGGAAAUCGCCUCCGGCGGUGGCGGGGGGUGAAACCACUGAAACCUUACAUCAAUCUCCUCAUCUCCUCAUCCUCUUCCUAAAUCCAUUCAUAAUUUCUUCUAAUCUUAAAUAAAUCACCAUAACCAAACCAAUUACCUUAAGAACCCUAAUCAUAAAUCUUCAAAUUAAAUCCUCCCACGUGGGAAUCAAAGUCCAAAUGGUUGAGACUUUGAUUCUCCAAGCCCUAAGCUACAUCAUGGUAUCUGAUUCGAAGUGAAAUGAGGAAGGGGACUUGACCUACCUGCUAGAGAAGAUGGAGACGAAUACGACGACGAAGAUGAAAUCAUAGGAUAUUUAGCAACAGGGAGGGUUUGAACAAAGGCAUACAAAGUGAAUUCAUUUGAAGUAACAUGGUGAAGGCAACAUCAAAGAUCAAAAAGUGGAAGCUUUGAAGACUCAAGCAACGGAAUGGGUGGCUUAUGGGAGAAGUAUGGGUGGACAUAAACCGCCCACCCGGCCCAACCCGGUGAAACCCGGAAAAAAAAAAAGAAUUUGGGCGAGUCGGAUCGGGCCAACGGGUCAAACGGGUUACCAAACUGGGUUACAGGGGGUUCAAAAGAACGGGUCGGGUACCAAAAAUGGACCCACGGGUACCCAAACCCGCCCAUCUACGAAACACGGUGUUUUGUCAUAGAUUCCUCUUGUUCUCACUUCUCUCACUCUCGUUUUUCCUUCCCAUAUUCUCUCACUCUCUCGUUCCCUCACUCCACUCGUUCCCAGAUCUUUCACUCUUUCAUUCCAGUUAUAAUGUGAUUAAUUGUUUCCUUCCCAUAUUCUCUAAUGUUUUCACACACUCUCCGUUAAAUCACUCUUAGUUAGGAUUUUUUAAUUAGGGUUUCUGAAUCUAAGGUUUUUAAUUUAGGGUUUAUGAUGAUUGUUGUUGUUACAAGUGAUUAAAGGCUUUGGACCAGUUGUCUCACUCUACGGGUGCUUAGAGUUUGUAUUUUUUUUUCUUA